UGACCAGACUGCAGGAGGACAGGAAGACUGGAGUGCCUAGAACAGAUUGUGAAUAUGAAAGCAAAGUCCAUCUUAUGAAACUGCCCUGAGAGCCUCUUUUGACUUAAAAGUAGGGUGAAAAUGAAUUUUAAAACAUAAAGACUUGAAGAUCCCCCUUCAGCAUACUGCAGAGAAAGAGAAACAUCCGAGAAAAUGGUGAUAUCCUCUCAGAGAUGAAAAUUAAAUCUAAGAUGUCUUGUGGGACAGCUGUGGGAAUCUUGGGUUUUUUGGGAAGUGGAGUGAGGAAAACCACUCAAACCUUAAAUCUAGCAAGCAACAUCAUUUUGUCUAGUUCAGCCAUAUAAGAAUAAGAAUCCAUGCUGCAGUUCAAUUGUCUCAAUAUUUAUUCUCUAACAGGUUGUUGAAGCACAUGCACCACCUGAAGCCCACCUUUUCUUGGGCUGCCUACAAAAUAAUCACCUUCAUUAAUGCCAUUACUAAUGGCAUCCAGAUGUGAAGGAUUCAGAUAACAGGAGAAAUUAAAUUCACAGGCUCCACCCUCAAUAUUAAAUUUUCUAAAUUUUAGCAAAAGCAUGUCUCUCCCCACACCCCACUCCUACAGCCUUGUAGG